rnacentral:rRNA from 1 species
AUUGAACGCUGGCGGCAUGCCUUACACAUGCAAGUCGAACGGUAACAGGUCUUCGGAUGCUGACGAGUGGCGAACGGGUGAGUAAUACAUCGGAACGUGCCCGAUCGUGGGGGAUAACGAAGCGAAAGCUUUGCUAAUACCGCAUACGAUCUACGGAUGAAAGCAGGGGACCGCAAGGCCUUGCGCGAACGGAGCGGCCGAUGGCAGAUUAGGUAGUUGGUGGGAUAAAAGCUUACCAAGCCGACGAUCUGUAGCUGGUCUGAGAGGACGACCAGCCACACUGGGACUGAGACACGGCCCAGACUCCUACGGGAGGCAGCAGUGGGGAAUUUUGGACAAUGGCGAAAGCCUGAUCCAGCCAUGCCGCGUGCAGGAUGAAGGCCUUCGGGUUGUAAACUGCUCUUGUACGGAACGAAAAGACUCUGGUUAAUACCUGGGGUCCAUGACGGUACCGUAAGAAUAAGCACCGGCUAACUACGUGCCAGCCGCCGCAGUAACAC